GCUACUGUAGCACAGUUGGUAGUGCAGCUGAUUUGUAAUCAGCAGGUCGUCAGUUCGAGUCUGACCAGUAGCUCCA
rnacentral:tRNA from 1 species